CGCGGUCCUCGGUAGUGGUUUACGGGAAACCGGCACGACGCCGGCCAUCCCGUGGGCCUCGAUCGAAGACCGGG
rfam:Arthrobacter rhombi strain B Ar 00.02 genome assembly, contig: Scaffold14